rnacentral:lncRNA from 1 species
AUGAAAUCCUACUUCUCUUUUGAUUUCCAGAUCUCAUGCAAGUGCCUUUCAUUGGCAAAAUUGAACUUGGAAUCCUGUUGGCAUGGGUCUGGUGGAUGCAGUCCUGGUGUUCCAGCCCCUGAAAGAGAAGGGAUAAUAUGGAAGAAGACUGUGGUGCUGCUUGACCAGGACAUGAGCUGGCACAUGUGGUCAACCACAGCAUCCUGUCUCCUCCCAGCCACACCUGAAGGAGCUUUGGCGGAGAGAAGAGGCCAAGAGCUCUGGGCCCAGGGACAGAGCCCCAGCUGUUUCUCCAGUGCCCACCACGCGAGGAGAGCAGCAGACUGCCAGUGGAGAGCAGGGGCGAGGCAAGGAGGGCACGACAAACAGGAAGCCCUUAACCAGAGACACGUCGGGAAAGGAGAGUUAGAGCGAGCAGAACUCACAUCUCAAGGUAAGUAACCUCCUAGAAACAAGAGUCGCUGUGGCCGAGUUCGCACUUUCAAGGUUAAUCUUGUGCAGCGGAACGGAGGCCGUGGGUGACAUGUAAGUAGCUUCGGCAGGAAAGGAGCUACGGAAAAAGCUGUAAUUGGCUGGAUGGCUGAUGCUCCAUGAACCUGUAAAUUCAAUGAUGGGCACAGUGCAGGACGAGGGUGUCAUUGAGGUCCUUUCUCUCAGUGUGUUUCUAGAAGAAUUAUAUUUGUAGUAGGUUCUGAUAGCAUGGUUCUUGAGAAUCAGAAAAUUGAGCUACUUUUACCAAUGUCUGCACCAUUGGGCUUAACCUUCCUUCCUUCAAGCAAGACUAAGCAAGGAUGAACUUAAGCAAUCAAUGCUGCUCUCUAAGUAUUUAUUACCCUCGGUAGGGGUUGGUGAACUUGUUCCAUCAAGGGUCACAUAGUUACUAUUUUCAGCUUCGUAGGCCACGCGGUCUCUUUGCAGCUACUCAUCAGAGCGCAAAAACGGCCAUGGACGAUGUGUAAGCAAGUGAGCAAGGCCAAGUCCAACCAGACUAUUGAUAAAGGUCAGACAGUAGGCUGGACUCAGCCCCUGAGCCAUAGUCGGCAGAACCCUGCCCUGGAAGGUCUCUACUGAAGGCAACCUGAGGUCUCUGCUUUGAAUGGAAGUGAGUCCUUAACAGACGGUCCCUCGACAGUGACUAAUUCCUGGAGGGGCUCUGUGACUUGCCGAAGUCCUAAGGGCAUGGUGGGCUGAGGGAAGCCACGUGUCCCUUGUUGGAAAGAUUCUCUUACGGAGACGCUUUGAGGCAGGGAGCGGAGCCCUAGACUAUAACACUCCUGUCGAAAUCUUGUCGGCACUCUGGGCCUCCCGACAACAAGAACAUCCCAACAUCUCAGCCAGAGACGCACAAACCUCACAUCCGGGAACAAAAGGGAGGGAACAAAGGACCCCACAUGCUCAAAACUCUUCUGAGCCCCAGUCCCUUCUUCUCAAAGUCUGGCAC